UGGGGAAUAUUGCACAAUGGGCGAAAGCCUGAUGCAGCAACGCCGCGUGAGCGAUGAAGGCCUUCGGGUCGUAAAGCUCUGUCCUCAAGGAAGAUAAUGACGGUACUUGAGGAGGAAGCCCCGGCUAACUACGUGCCAGCAGCCGCGGUAAUACGUAGGGGGCUAGCGUUAUCCGGAUUUACUGGGCGUAAAGGGUGCGUAGGCGGUCUUUUAAGUCAGGAGUGAAAGGCUACGGCUCAACCGUAGUAAGCUCUUGAAACUGGAGGACUUGAGUGCAGGAGAGGAGAGUGGAAUUCCUAGUGUAGCGGUGAAAUGCGUAGAUAUUAGGAGGAACACCAGCGGCGCAGGCGGCUCACUAGACAGUUUCUGACGCUAAGAUACGAAAGCGUGGGGAGCAAACA
rnacentral:rRNA from 1 species